rnacentral:rRNA from 1 species
UACGUAGGAGGCAAGCGUUGUCCGGAAUUACUGGGCGUAAAGCGCGUGUAGGCGGCUGGCUAAGUCCGCUCUGAAAGCCCGGGGCUCAACCCCGGGAGGCGGGUGGAUACUGGUCAGCUCGAGUCCGGAAGAGGAGUGUGGAAUUCCUGGUGUAGCGGUGAAAUGCGCAGAUAUCAGGAGGAACACCAAUAGCGAAGGCAGCUCGCUGGGACGUUACUGACACUGAGGCGCGAAAGCGUGGGGAGCGAACAGG